rnacentral:rRNA from 1 species
UACGAAGGGGGCUAGCGUUGUUCGGAAUUACUGGGCGUAAAGCGCGCGCAGGCGGCUAUCCAAGUCAGUGGUGAAAGCCCGGAGCUCAACUCCGGAACUGCCAUUGAAACUGUUUAGCUUGAGGACAGAGAGGUGAGUGGAAUUCCCCAGUGUAGAGGUGAAAUUCGUAGAUAUUGGGAAGAACACCGGUGGCGAAGGCGGCUCACUGGCUCGUAUCUGACGCUCAGGCGCGACAGCGUGGGGAUCAAAACAGG